GACGAACGCUGGCGGCGUGCCUAAUACAUGCAAGUCGAGCGCAGGAAGCCGACGGAACCCUUCGGGGGGAAGUCGACGGAAUGAGCGGCGGACGGGUGAGUAACACGUAAAGAACCUGCCCUCAGGUCUGGGAUAACCACGAGAAAUCGGGGCUAAUACCGGAUGGGUCAUCGGACCGCAUGGUCCGAGGAUGAAAGGCGCUUCGGCGUCGCCUGGGGAUGGCUUUGCGGUGCAUUAGCUAGUUGGUGGGGUAAUGGCCCACCAAGGCGACGAGGCAUAGCGGACCUGGGAGGGUGAUCGGCCACACUGGGACUGAGACACGGCCCAGACACCGACGGGAGGCAGCAGUAGGGAAUCGUCCACAAUGGACGAAAGUCUGAUGGAGCAACGCCGCGUGAACGAUGAAGGCCUUCGGGUCGUAAAGUUCUGUUGUAAGGGAAGAACAAGUGCCGCAGGCAAUGGCGGCACCUUGACGGUACCUUGCGAGAAAGCCACGGCUAACUACGUGCCAGCCGCCGCCGUAAGAC
rnacentral:rRNA from 1 species